rfam:Sordaria macrospora k-hell, WGS project CABT02000000 data, contig: 2.1
GCCCGCAUGGCUCAGUGGUAGAGCGCAUCACUAGUAAUGAUGAGGUCGUCAGUUUCGAUUCUGGCUGUGGGCA